rnacentral:rRNA from 1 species
CAUGCAAGUCGAGCGGACAGAAGGGAGCUUGCGUCCCGGAUGUUAGCGGCGGACGGGUGAGUAACACGUGGGUAACCUGCCUGUAAGACUGGGAUAACUCCGGGAAACCGGAGCUAAUACCGGAUAGUUCCUUGAACCGCAUGGUUCAAGGAUGAAAGACGGUUUCGGCUGUCACUUACAGAUGGACCCGCGGCGCAUUAGCUAGUUGGUGGGGUAAUGGCUCACCAAGGCGACGAUGCGUAGCCGACCUGAGAGGGUGAUCGGCCACACUGGGACUGAGACACGGCCCAGACUCCUACGGGAGGCAGCAGUAGGGAAUCUUCCGCAAUGGACGAAAGUCUGACGGAGCAACGCCGCGUGAGUGAUGAAGGUUUUCGGAUCGUAAAGCUCUGUUGUUAGGGAAGAACAAGUGCGAGAGUAACUGCUCGCACCUUGACGGUACCUAACCAGAAAGCCACGGCUAACUACGUGCCAGGGGGGCGCGGUAAUACGUAGGUGGCAAGCGUUGUCCGGAAUUAUUGGGCGUAAAGGGCUCGCAGGCGGUUUCUUAAGUCUGAUGUGAAAGCCCCCGGCUCAACCGGGGAGGGUCAUUGGAAACUGGGAAACUUGAGUGCAGAAGAGGAGAGUGGAAUUCCACGUGUAGCGGUGAAAUGCGUAGAGAUGUGGAGGAACACCAGUGGCGAAGGCGACUCUCUGGUCUGUAACUGAC